UGGGGAAUAUUGCACAAUGGAGGAAACUCUGAUGCAGCAAUGCCGCGUGAGUGAAGAAGGCCCUUGGGUUGUAAAGCUCUUUUAUGGGGGAAGAUGAUGACGGUACCCCAGGAAUAAGCACCGGCUAACUACGUGCCAGCAGCCGCGGUAAUACGUAGGGUGCGAGCGUUGUUCGGAAUUACUGGGCGUAAAGGGCGCGCAGGCGGAGGUGCAAGUCGGAGGUGAAAGCCCGGGGCUCAACCCCGGAGGGUCUUUCGAAACUGCAUCUCUAGAGAGGGUCAGGGGCCGGCAGAAUUCCUGGUGUAGAGGUGAAAUUCGUAGAUAUCAGGAGGAAUACCGGUGGCGAAAGCGGCCGGCUGGGGCCACUCUGACGCUGAGGCGCGAAAGCGUGGGGAGCAAACAGGAUUAGAUACCCUGGUAGUCCACGCCGUAAACGAUGAGCACUGGACGUUCGGAGGGUUCGACCCUUCUGGGUGUUUCAGCUAACGCAUUAAGUGCUCCGCCUG
rnacentral:rRNA from 1 species